rnacentral:misc_RNA from 1 species
UUUCCGUAGGUGAACCUGCGGAAGGAUCAUUACUGAGUUAAGGUCUUCAUGGCCCGACCUCCAACCCUUUGUUUAAUCUACCAUGUUGCUUUGGCAGGCCCGCUUAGAAAUGGGCCGCCGGAGACCUUUGAGUCUCUGGUCAGUGCCUGCCAGUAGUCUUUCUAAAUUUAUUUAUAACCGUGUCUGAAUAUACAAAGAAAAUUUAAAUUAAAACUUUCAACAACGGAUCUCUUGGUUCUG